rnacentral:tRNA from 1 species
GCGCCUGUAGCUCAGAGGAUAGAGCAGCGGUUUCCUAAACCGCGUGCCGGGGGUUCGAGUCCCUCCAGGCGCA